UACGAAGGGUGCAAGCGUUACUCGGAAUUACUGGGCGUAAAGCGCGCGUAGGCGGCCUCAUAAGUCCGUUGUGAAAGUCAAAGGCUCAACCUUUGAAAGCCGAUGGAUACUGUGAGGCUAGAGUCCGGAAGAGGCGGGUGGAAUUCCUGGUGUAGCGGUGGAAUGCGCAGAUAUCAGGAGGAACACCAAUAGCGAAGGCAGCUCGCUGGGACGGUACUGACGCUAAGGCGCGAAAGCGUGGGGAGCGAACAGG
rnacentral:rRNA from 1 species